rnacentral:misc_RNA from 1 species
AACAGGUAGCAAAAUCCGAACAGAUCUCGCAAUCUAAAAAGCUAAAACGCUCAGACAAGUAGAGAAUAACAAAACCUAAGCAGUCAGCACAACCGCGCCACCAGCGGCUUUGAUCUUCUUCUCCGCCGUCUUCGACACAAGCUUGGCCUUGACAACCACCGGAUGAGUCAGCGGCAGCAUCCCCUUCCCCAACACCUUGAAGUACCCAUGCUGACUCACAUCAAUCACCGGAGCAGAUCCACCCCCGGCCGCCGCCGCCUGCUCCUUCGCCGCCUCAGGGACGAGGCUCCAGAGGCGAUCGACGUUGACGAUCGGGCAGUGGAACUUGUUGCGGAGGCGGUGGAAGUAGCGCAUACCUACCUUGCCGAAGUAGCCCGGAUGGUACUUGUCGAAGAGGAUGCGGUGGUGGUGCAUGCCGCCGGCGUUACCGCGGCCGCCGGGAUGCUUGCGGUGCUUGCCGAUACGGCCGUGGCCGGCGCUGACGUGGCCGCGCUUCUUCCGG